UGCAGGAUAAAACUGAACUAUUUUUUUACGUGAUGUGGUAAAAUCCUACACCACCUCCAACCUCGUAGCUAAAUUAACCGUAGUUAGUGAGAAAAUAAUAGAAAUAAGGGCAAAUGAUACUUUGACAUCAGCACUACCACAACUACCACCGAUCUAGUGUACCUAGGCACACAAUUUUUGCAUUUUCUGCCUUACGUUGUAAAUGAAGUAUAAAGUAUUGUUAUUAAUAACGUAGUGCACACAGUCACGAAGUCAGGUCCCAGAAUUGCGAUUAAAUAGUUAAUAUUGAAGUCUUGAAUUUGAUGACUAUUCAAAUUUAAGUUUUGUUUCGAUUCAUCUCCGAAAGCCUCAGGACCACGGUUUGUUUUUCUAUCUUUCUGAAGGAAUAAUUACAAUAUCAUGGGAUAGACUGAAAAAUUUAUGUCGUGUUUGAAUAAGAAAUUAAUUGUGGAACGAAAAGAUAGCCAGAUUAAUCAGCAAAUCGAUAACUAAGAGUGCCUGAUGUGUGUUUAGUUGAACAAUACAAGCUUGUUGUUACCUGGUUCAGUUUUCGAAAAUUUUGAAGUACAAGCAACAAGUAACAACUACAAGACACGAAACGAGAAAAUUAGAGACUGAAUUCUUCCUUCAAAAAUAGCAUCAUCGUACUUGCUCACGAGUUGAUAACCCAGUUUCAGUGUAUAUUUGGGAUAGUGUCGCAUGUCAACCCGGAACACGUCUUAUUUUUGUAAAUAUGCUGAAUAAACAAAAUAGUUGAUAAGAACUUGUGACUUGCCACCUGCAUGAUUUGGGACCAAGUUUGUGGAAGGAUAAAGCUCUAACAGUGCAAUAUAUAAUCAAGUUGUGCUGAAGAUCAAGAUCUUGAGAAAAAAGAAAUUUCCUCCAAAUCAUAAUUAAAUUGCACCAAGAACAGAUUUGACAAUCAAGGGAAAGGAAGAGAAGCGUUAAAACCAACAAGUAAUUAAAUUGCAUCAAGCACUACUACUGAGAUUUGGAUAAAGGAAAGCAACAACAUAUAAUUUUCAUCCCGAAGCAAAAGGUCUCAUCUAUCAGCCUCGUCCUCUUACUAGAUAAUUAAAUCAAAGUGCCCUUCCUCAAGUUCACAAGCAAAUCUGGCCAGGAGUAAUACAGUACACAAGGCUUAAAAGCGUGGAAAACUAACCAGGUUCCAAAGAGAGAGAGAGAAGCAAAGCAAAUCUGUCCGUACAAAGCAAAGCCGUAAACAAGAAUUCAUCAUCUCUUCGCAGAGCAGCAGAGUUUGCAUUUGUAUGGCUUUGUGUUGAUUUGACUGACAAAAAGGUCCAACGGAAACUCGAAACCCAAAUUCAGUAGUAGUGCAUCUGGGACCGACCGACUCUACGCUUUGUUGGCCUUGCACUAGUCAUUACUAUUUACCAUUUGUACAAUUUACUACUCAACACAGUCAACAUCAAGGACGACAAAAUCACUGGAUGAACUCGGCGAUUUAUAUAUUACUCAAAUUGAUUACUUUGGCUGUGCAGACAUGUCACCCAUGAUGUGCUGAUGAGCAACGUUGCAGCAAAACUGGUCAGUUCCGUCUGUCGUCUCCCUCUGCUCCGUUGGUGGAGUUGUCUCUUGUUUUCGUCGUCUUUUGAAAUCGGAAGCUUAUUUAAAAAAUUCAAGACUGAACCGCAAUUUAGAACCAGACAAAAUGAAGUUGUAUUCCGUCUUGUGUACUUUUGUCGUCGCGUUCAUCAUCAUCGGUGAGAAAUCGUGGGCAGAGAACCUUGAUGCCAAGUUGAGUCAGUGGUGGAAGACCGUGUCGACCAGAUACCCAAAAUACGAUGAGACAACCACAUUGAUCAAGGAGAUGGAGAAAGCCUUCCCAGACUUGGUCCACAUAUACACCGUAGGAAAGUCGGUUUUGGGGAAAGAAAUGUGGGUCAUUCAUAUGGGGACGAACAUAACGGGAGACCGACCUCUGUUGAGACCACCAAUGAAGAUUGUUGCCAACAUGCAUGGAGACGAGACCGUCGGAAGGGCAUUGACACUCAUGAUGUCGGUCGACUUGUUGCGAAAAUACGAAGAUGAAGAUUCAAGAGUUGUUAAGCUUCUGAACACCACUGAUAUUCACUUGAUGCCAUCCGUAAACCCGGAUGGGUACGAGGCAGCCAAAGAAGGAGCAUGUUCCCCUGAUCCAGACGCUACAGGGAGACAAAAUGCUAAUCGAAUUGACCUCAAUCGCAAUUUUCCAGAUCAAUUUGAAGUGGGUGGGCUUGAUGACUCGGCCCUGAUAGCUAAUAGACAGCCCGAGACUUUAAACAUAAUGACCUGGAUUGUUAGCAAUCCAUUUGUCGUAUCGUUAAAUCUUCACGGUGGUUCAGUUGUCGCCAGUUACCCAUACGAUUCAGUGCCAAAGAGUGUAGAGAAUAAUCGGCACUAUAGCGGAAACGACGUUCCCAGUUUAUCUCCUGAUAAUGACGUCUUUGUCAGUUUAGCACAUCUUUAUGCUGAUAACCACAAGACAAUGAAAGGUUAUGAGAAAUGCGGUGACCGAUUUGAAGACGGAAUAACGAAUGGUGCCAAUUGGUACAAUGUGCGAGGUGGUAUGCAAGACUUCAAUUAUGUUCAUUCAAACUGUUUCGAAAUUACCAUUGAACUGUCAUGCUGCAAGUUUCCCAAAUCUUCGACCCUGCUCGAUGAGUGGGCCAAUAACAACGAAUCUCUGUACAAGUUUAUUGAAGUCGCACAUACUGGAAUCAAAGGACUUGUGAGAGAUUCUAAAAACAAUCCAAUCGGAGCGGCUGAAAUUAUUGUUAAAGGAAUUGGCUACAAUGUACGAACGACUAAACAGGGAGAGUAUUGGAGACUAUUGACCCCUGGAAAGUAUCGUGUUGGAGUUAAGGCACUCGAGUAUGAGCCGAGCGAUUUCGUUGAUGUCACAGUAGUUUUAAACCAAGAAGCUCCCGUUUUAGACUUUAUUCUCCAACCAUCUACUAAAAAACACUCAGGAGUCAAUACAUCCUCGUCGGCAUCUGAUAUCUACCACACCUUCAACCCGGAGUUCAAGCACCACAAUUAUGCUGAACUAGAAGCAUUCAUGAAACGGAUGAGCCAACAAUAUCCGCACAUAUCAAGACUCUACUCGAUUGGGAAGAGCGUCCAACAACGGGAAUUAUACGUGAUGGAAAUCACUGAUAAUCCUGGACAUCAUGAGUUAGGUGAACCUGAAUUUAAGUACGUGGGAAACAUGCAUGGAAAUGAAGUCAUUGGGAGGGAAAUGUUGAUCACACUUAUUCAAUAUCUUCUGGAGGCUUAUGGUCAGGACACCAACAUUACGAGACUGGUGGAUACGACUCGAAUUCACAUAAUGCCGUCUAUGAAUCCUGAUGGUUACGAAGUAUCUACAGAAGGCGAUGUUAAGGGUGAUAUUGGACGAGGAAAUGCAAAUAAAGUUGAUCUCAACCGAAACUUUCCUGAUCAGUAUGAUGAAUAUCUCGAUAAUCUGUCCGACUCGGAUGAGAGUAAAAAGGACCGUGAAAAUUUGGUGUUGGAACCAGAAACAAAAGCCGUGAUGAAGUGGGUCAAGGAAUAUCCUUUCGUACUAUCUGCCAACCUUCAUGGAGGGUCUCUAGUCGUUAACUAUCCAUUUGAUGACAAUAAAGACAUGGAAAGUAAGGAGAGUCCAUCCCCAGACAAUGAAGUCUUCAGGGAACUAGCUUUGUCGUACUCUAAGUCUCACAAAUCAAUGUGGAAAGGAGUUCCAUGUCCUAAACUUUAUCCAGACAAAUUUACUGACGGAAUAACCAACGGAGCAUCUUGGUAUAUUGUCCAGGGUGGAAUGCAAGACUGGAAUUAUCUGCAUUCAAAUUGCUUGGAAGUAACUUUGGAAUUGGGAUGCGUCAAGUUUCCCAUGGCCAAUAAAAUUGCUGGCUAUUGGGAUGAUAACAAAGUUUCUUUGGUCAACUUUAUAGAACAGGUUCACACGGGUGUGAACGGAUUUGUAAUGGAUGAAAACAACAAUAUGUUGGGUGGAGCUAAAAUUUCUGUUGAAAAUUUGAAGCAUUCGAUCACUUCUGCUGACGGAGGAGAUUUUUGGAGACUCCUUUCCGCUGGCACAUAUAACAUAACAAUUGAAUUCACUGGCUAUGAAAAUUUAACACGGACUGUCACGGUCAACAAGGGUAUUGGAACGCCACUCAAUUUUACAUUGAAAGCCUUGCGAGCCAAAGAGUGGUCACAGAAAGCCGACUAUGGAAUUAACGAAAACAUUGCUACAGAUCUUUUCACCGACAUUAGUUCAAGCAAUCUUCAAGGAUUUUCUGUAGAUAAUUUUGAUAUUUUAGAUCAUCAGGAAAUUGGAGAUAUGCAUGUUCUUACAAUGACAGAUCAAAUUGGUUCACCGGAUGAUCUCAAAAUACAUAUCUCCCUCGUAGGAGGGAUUGUAGGACCUGCAGGAAAUGAACUUCUAGCCAGAAUUGCAAGACAUUUAACAAUGGCAUAUCGUCAAUCAGAUAACCGAAUUGUCAACAUUUUGAAGAAGAGUGUAAUUCAUUUCGUACUGCUCCCAGACUCUUCGGCUCUCUCGUCUUCAAAUAACUGUGUAGUGGAUGACACCACCGUGGCUGAUUAUAUUAGUAAAACCUUGUUGAACUUGGCUGAAUACGUUAAAUCUAUGAAUAACGACGUCAUCCUAAGUUUGACUUCUGGUGGCAAAAGCUUAUCGUUCCCUAAGGACGAAAAGUGUAUUUAUAUGUCAAUUAAUGAGCUGUUCCAAAAAUCAACAAGUCGAGAUCCAUGUGCUUCUGUAAAUAUAUCGAGUACAGCCGAUCUAGUAAAGGAUGGCAUGUUGAAGUUAAAUAUUGUUCCUCUGUCCUUGUUUUGUUGUGAUGUUCCGGCUAUAAAUGAUGUCACUGAAGCAUACAUCAAACAUCUGGACCAUUUUAUUGAUCUUUUAGAUCUGUCUUCCCAAGGUAUUUCUGGCAAUGUGGUGGAUAAUUCAGGUCAACCUUUGAGGAACGCUCAACUAAGCGUUGUCUCCGGACAUGGUCACUAUGAACAAGGAAAAAUUAGCAAAAAUUCUGGUCGUUUUGUACAAAUGAUGUCAGAAGGAUAUCACAAAAUAAAUGUAUCACUACGAGGUUAUGAUACAGAGAUGCGGACAGUUUACGUCCCUAAGGGGAGCUUGAAGAAUGUCAAAAUAGUGCUUUCCAAGAGUUCUUAUAAUAUUGAUGACAAUAAAGCUGGCUCAUCAUCACCUCUGAGUUCAUUUCUAAAUGGCGGACAAGACUACUUUUACUACCCAAGGAAAGAGUUUCAAAGUAUAAAACAGUUGCAUCCUCGUAAUUUCGAUGUCAACAGCUUUGAGGGAAGUGGUGAAGCAUUGGUUCUGAGGAUUGGAGGUGAAAUGUGGCGUAAAGUUGGAGUCGUAUUCGAUGGGUUUGCAGUUGCACCAAGUAGUCUUUUGGAGUGGAUUCGAAACUUUAUUUCGGAACAGAAAGGAUCGAGUGAAUCAAAAACACAACUAAAUAUUUUUCUUAAGGAUGGAAAUGUUACCAAAGGCGGCUUAGGACUUGCUAAAAUUGAGAAGUGGGCUGUAUUCAAUCGAUUUCCAGUUGUAUUUGACAUUAUUUGCACUGAGAAUUAUGAUUCCAGUUUGCUAAAUUAUGCCAAGACGCUAAGCAUUAAAGACAGGGAGAUAUAUAAUUUCAUGGACAAGAGUCUUCGAGAAGCGAUAGAAGCCGUGAAUAACGAGAUUUCAUACGAUAAUUGCGAAACCAAAGAAAACGUUGGAAUCUCGCGAUCUUAUGGGGAAUUUUACAACCGAACACACUCCUUAAUUUUUCCUGUUCCUGUGAAAUGUUGUUACGGAUCAAAUCGUGGUGAUGAUUUUGCUUUGAGUCUGCUGUCAUUUUUCCAGUCUCUUGUUACACAAGGAAUACAUGGUUAUGUUACCUCUGCUUUACACGAACCUAUUCCAAAUGCAAAACUCUACUUUGGUGGAAAUGACACUUACACAUUUUCUGAUUUGUUGGGACACUUUGAGAAGCCAUUGCCCCCAGGAGACUAUAAUGUUGAAGUUCAUGCAGAGGGAUACUUUAACACUGAAAAAUCAGUGACAGUGUCCACAGUGAAAUUUACAAACGUACUUUUGCCUUUGCAAAAGAACGAUGCCGUUUGGGGAUUGCCAAGAGUUGCUUUUGUUACUUUACUUGCGAGUUUUUUGAUAGGAGUACUUGUCAUUGGCUCAAUGUGUUUCGUGGCUUGUCGACGUAACCAAACUCGCGUCAACGGAUUUGGUUUUUUUCAAGGGAACAAUAAACUAAUAUUCGAUGAUGAGGAUGAACAAUUAUUCUCCAUCAAUAAAGGUCGAAUUAUUGAGAAGAAAUUCAAAAUAGAUUCUGAUGAUUCGGACGACGAGGAUAGUGAAAACUUACUAAAUGUCGGAAUGCGCCAGUGGACGAGAACGUGAAAAUAAUAGCAAUAAUAUUAAUAUUUAUUCAUCGAUGACUCAACUAAUGAACGCGACGUGCCUUAUGCAGACUUUCUUGAGACAAUAUUUACCAUAUAACUGUACAAAAUGGUUCAAAUGUUUAACACUAGCGUGUACACAGAUGAUGUAAUUGAAGAUGAUGGUGCAUUUAUAUUUUACGAUUACCAAAGCUAUAUAAGUAUGUACAUUUAUUGACGGUAUUCUGUUGGUAAAUAUGUUAAGGUAUUGAUAAUAUUUAUAUAUGUAAAGUUUGAAAUUGAUAAAUCUCAUUAGUUGUAGGCUUAAUAUUUUAAUUUUGUAUAUUCAAAUGAGGUGAUAUGUGAUACUAUUCUAUAGAAUAUUUCUAGAACAAUGCUAAUGCAACCUUUUUGAAUUUUUGUCGAGUUCACUUAUUGAAAUGAAAUACAUUUUAUCAAGGAAUAUGUUCUACUCUGUUCAAGCUGAGGUUCAUUUACUUCUCGAAUUAAACAUCAUACAUUAUGUGCAUACAACAUAUAAAAACUUGAUACCUUAUGAAAUUGGUCAGUGGCAGUUCAAUCGUUCCCCAAGAAAGAAGACCUCUCCAAUUUCAUCUUACCUAUUUUUUCAGUAUUCCAACGAAUAAAACUCUUCCGAUAUGUCAAACAUCAGUUUUUUGAAUUUUGCAUUUGUAAAACCAACUCAGUUUAGUUACUCACCUUGCCCUAUGCGCCCUAUGCGUGGAAUAUUAAAAACUGGGAGCAAAUCCACUUCUGACCUGCGGCAAACAGGAGAUUAUCUUCAGCAAGACGAAGGUGGACAAACUCUCCCUGUUACUCGUGCUAAUGCUGAAGACAAAAAGCACACACCUACGAGACGCCGUCUCCGAGAAGUGAAAUUCAGCUAUGUAUCCCCCAUGGACAAGUGGGGGGUACGAAAACUGUAUUGCAGAAGCCUGAGCAUGGAAAGUGUUGCUGAUAUCGAAAGGAACAAGUCGCAGUCAAGUUCAGGCCACCGAAAAGUGGACCAAAAAAACAGCAACGAAAAAAGGCUGAAAACUAGAGCUUCUGCCAUGGAGUUAUCGCUUGUCUCAGACAUUGAGGAUAUACAGACAUUCCUAGAUACUCGUGUCCGAAAUCGAUUUCGCCAACCUGCUUCAUUUAGCUUGCCUAAUCUCAGCAUCUCAGAAUACUUUGAAGUUGUUAAGUCGAUAACAAAUACUUUUGACGGGAAAGCCUUUAAGUCACUCCCGAUGACGCACAACACAAGAAUAAAAGCGUACGUGAAACUUACGAUGAAGUUAGCGACAAACCUUAAUUUGGACAAUUUAAUCAGCGAAAAGAUUUUAGAGCAACCAAUCAUGCCUCAUGCUAGCUGCUCCAUUCGGAAGAAAAAAAUGUUGUUCCUCAAGGCCUUGAUUGACCACGUUUAUAGCAACGAGUCGCUGCUGCUUUUUUAAACUUGUCGGUAUCGGGGAUCUGACUUACACAAAUAUUUCAACUAUUUUGACAAACCUUUCAUGGGUAGUAAACUUUUAAUAUGAAAAAUCAUAUUUUCUGACACUAUUUUAAACUCGAAACCAAAUUGUCCCUCUCGCUUUCCCUCGCAUUUUAAGCAGACUGUUUAUGGAAAAAAGAAAGUAUGAAAAAAUUUUCAGGUAAUGAAAUAAAACGCAAACACGAUUUCAUAAACAA